AAUAUUGCGCAAUGGAGGGAACUCUGACGCAGCGACGCCGCGUGAGCGAUGAAGGUCNNNGGAUCNUCAAGCUCUUUCCUUGGNGACNUAGGUCUUCGGACUUGACGGUACCUAAGCAUGAAGCCCCGGCUAACUACGUUCCCGCAGCCGCGGUAAUACGUACGGGGCAAGCGUUGUCCGGAAUUAUUGGGCGUAAAGGGUGCGUAGGCGGCCUUCUAAGUCAGAUGUGAAGGCCCACGGCUUAACCGUGGGACUGCAUUUGAAACUGGAGGGCUUGAGUAUCGGAGAGGGUAGUGGAAUUCCCAGUGUAGCGGUGGAAUGCGUAGAUAUUGAGAGGAACACCAGUGGCGAAGGCGACUACCUGGACGAAAACUGACGCUGAGGCACGAAAGCUAGGGGAGCAAAC
rnacentral:rRNA from 1 species